CACGUAGGCGGUUCGUCGCGUCCGGUGUGAAAGUCCAUCGCUUAACGGUGGAUCCGCGCCGGGUACGGGCGGGCUUGAGUGCGGUAGGGGAGACUGGAAUUCCCGGUGUAACGGUGGAAUGUGUAGAUAUCGGGAAGAACACCAAUGGCGAAGGCAGGUCUCUGGGCCGUCACUGACGCUGAGGAGCGAAAGCGUGGGGAGCGAACA
rnacentral:rRNA from 1 species